rnacentral:rRNA from 1 species
UAAGGAAUAUUGGUCAAUGGACGAAAGUCUGAACCAGCCAUGCCGCGUGCAGGAUGACUGCCGUAUGGGUUGUAAACUGCUUUUAUAUAGGAAGAAAAACUUUCUGGUGAGAAAGCUUGACGGUACUGUAAGAAUUAGGAUCGGUUAACUCCGUCCCAGCAGCCGCGGUAAUGCAGAGGAUCCAAGCGUUAUCCGGAAUCAUUGGGUUUAAAGGGUCCGUAGGUGGAUAAUUAAGUCAGAGGUGAAAUCUUUCAGCUCAACUGUAAAAUUGCCUUUGAUCCUGGUUAUCUUGAGUCAUUAUGAAGUAGUUAGAAUAUGUAGUGUAGCGGUGAAAUGCAUAGAUACUACAUAGAAUACCAAUUGCGAAGGCAGAUUCAUAAUAAUGUACUGACAGUGAUGGAGGAAAGCGUGGGUACCGAACGGGAUUCGAUACCCCGGUAGUCCACGCCGUAAACGCUGGUCACUAGCUGUUCGCACUUUAUGUCUGAGUGGCUAAGCGAAAGUGAUAAGUGACCCACCUGGGGAGUACGUUCGCAAGAAUGAAACUCAAAGGAAUUGACGGGGGCCCGCACAAGCGGUGGAGCAUGUGGUUUAAUUCGAUGAUACGCGAGGAACCUUACC